GUGCUAACUUUGGAAGCAUAUUAAAACUGGAAAUACAAAGAUUAGCAUGGCCCCUGCAACAAGAAGACAUAAUACAAGUAGCUAACAAAAUUCUU
rnacentral:snRNA from 1 species